rnacentral:rRNA from 1 species
AAAACUCAAAUGAAUUGACGGGGGCCCGCACAAGCGGUGGAGCAUGUGGUUUAAUUCGAUGCAACGCGAAGAACCUUACCUGGUCUUGACAUCCACAGAACCUUGUAGAGAUACGAGGGUGCCUUCGGGAACUGUGAGACAGGUGCUGCAUGGCUGUCGUCAGCUCGUGUUGUGAAAUGUUGGGUUAAGUCCCGCAACGAGCGCAACCCUUAUCCUUUGUUGCCAGCGG